rnacentral:tRNA from 1 species
AGAAAUAUUUUUAUUAAGCUGCUAACUUAAAUUCAGUGGAUAAUUCCCCUUAAUAUUUCUA